rnacentral:lncRNA from 1 species
CCUUGACCCAUUCUCCCUGCGCCACCUCACUUCCACUGCGCCCAUUUGAAUUCAUGAGAAGAAAGUUCUCAUGAAUUUUUUCUCAUGCAAAGCCCUCCUCAUGCCCUACUUUAAUGCGCCAAAUGAGUGAAUAAGGAUGAUUGGUUGGCCAUUCAAAUUCAAAACAAAGUUUGAAUUUGAAUGAGCAACCAAUCUUAGUGCCUUGACCUUAUCCUCUUUUAGCACCCCAUUUAUUACACGAGAAAAUAUUUCUCAUGAAAUCACUAACACACAAAUUAAGCCAUGCCCUCCUCUUCUCAUGCCCUUAGUGGAUAGGGAUAAAUUAGUUUCCAUUUGAAUUCAAA